UUCAAAAUUUUAUUUUGCAAAAUUUGAGCCUUAUUAAAAUUAACUUCACCGCACAUACCCCAUACUGGCAAGAGGUACCUAAAAUGUGUGAGAAAGAAGGCAUUAUAAAUUUGAAAUUUACUUUUUUCAGACAAAUAAUCUCUACUCCUAUAUAAGGCAGAUAGCAUUGGAACUGUUUUAUCAAAAAUUUUGUUUAAGUGUAGUGACCAAUUUAAAUUUUCAUCUAUUUGCAAACCUAAAUAUUUAAUAUUCGACACUUUUUCUAAUACUACAGUUUUAAUAUUAAUAUUUAGAUUAUUGCUGACUGACUUAUUUUUUUGUUUGAAUAUCAUGUAUUUGGUUUUCUCAAUGUUAAUUUUUAAUUUAUUUGAAAACAGCCAUUUAAGAUAACAUUUUAGGUCAUUAUUAAUAAGUUGUGUUAAAGAAGUUUCAUCUGUUCCAGCAUAUACCAGUACAGUGUCAUCUGCAAAGGUCUAUGAAGACAGCUAUAACUAUUUGUUGUUUAUCUAAUGCCAUUGAAAUACAGUCUACAAAAUCCACAACCGCACCAAGUGUACUACUGUUCUUUAUAAAGCCAUAUUGAUAUUUAUCAUUCAAUAGAUUGCAAGAGUUAAUGAAAGAUAA